rnacentral:rRNA from 1 species
UACAGAGGUCCCAAGCGUUGUUCGGAUUCAUUGGGCGUAAAGGGCGCGUAGGCGGCAAUUCAAGUCAUCUGUGAAAUCUCCGAGCUUAACUCGGAACGGUCAGAUGAUACUGCUUUGCUAGAGUGCAGAAGGGGCAAUCGGAAUUCCUGGUGUAGCGGUGAAAUGCGUAGAGAUCAGGAGGAACACCCGUGGCGAAGGCGGCCCUCUGGCUCGACCCUGACGCUGAGAGGCGAAAGCGUGGGGAGCGAACGGG